AUGGAGGUAGAUGCCCUGCUCAGCAUCCUGCACCUCUUCGGCGAGGCCACGGGCCUGCACGUCAACCUGGCCAAGUCCUCGGCUGUGCCGAUUAGCUGCGGCGACCUCGACCUCGGUUUCAUCUUGCACAACUUUGGCGGCAUCGUGGCGUCACUACCCAUCACGUACCUAGGCCUCCCAAUCACCACCAGUAGGAUUCGUUUAGUCCACCUGCAGUUCAUCCUAGAUAGGAUUCGUGCGCGCCUUGCUGGUUGGAAG
rnacentral:rRNA from 1 species